rnacentral:rRNA from 1 species
CGGACGGGUGAGGAACGCGUGACUGACCUGCCCUCGAGUGGGGGAUACCGGCCAGAAAUGGCUGUUAAGACCGCAUGAGACCCAUGGGCGCGAGCUUGUGGGGGAAAGCCUUCGGGCGCUGGAGGAGGGGGUCGCGUCGGAUUAGCUGGUUGGUGGGGUAACGGCCUACCAAGGCGACGAUCCGUAGCUGGUCUGAGAGGACGGCCAGCCACACUGGGACUGAGACACGGCCCAG